rnacentral:rRNA from 1 species
GACGAACGCUGGCGGCGUGCUUAACACAUGCAAGUCGAACGGAAAGGCCUGCUUUCCCUUGUGGAUUGCGGGUACUCGAGUGGCGAACGGGUGAGUAACACGUGAGUGAUCUGCCCCCAACUUGGGUAUAAGCCUGGGAAACUGGGUCUAAUUCCCGAUAGGACUGCAGGGUGGUGCCUGUGGUGGAAAACGAUUUUCUAGUGGUUGGGGAUGAGCUCGCGGCCUAUCAGCUUGUUGGUGGGGUAAUGGCCUACCAAGGCGGCGACGGGUAGCCGGCCUGAGAGGGUGGACGGCCACAGUGGGACUGAGAUACGGCCCAGACUCCUACGGGAGGCAGCAGUGGGGAAUAGUGCACAAUGGGCGGAAGCCUGAUGCAGCGACGCCGCGUGGGGGAUGACGGCCUUCGGGUUGUAAACUCCUUUCGACCGCGAGGAAGCCACCUGGUUGGAAGGGUGGUGACGGUAGUGGUAGAAGAAGCACCGGCUAACUACGUG